CUAUUGGAUUGAGAACAACGUACAAACCUUAUCGAUAAACAAUUGGAGGGCAAGUCUGGUGCCAGCAGCCGCGGUAAUUCCAGCUCCAAUAGCGUAUAUUAACGUUGUUGCAGUUAAAAAGCUCGUAGUUGAAAUGAAGGGUAGUUGUGUAAUGAAUACAUUCGUGUAUUUUGUUAUUCUACUACCCUCCUUCUAAAUUCGAUAUAUGAGUAUUAAUUUACUUGUAUAUGGUUUUAGACGUUUACUGUGAGAAAAUUAGAGUGUUCAAAGCAGGCAUUUGCUUGAAUAUAUUAGCAUGGAAUAAUCAUGUAUGAUUUUCAUGAUGUAUUUGAUUGGUUUGGUUCAUGAGAAUAAGAUUAAAAGGGACAGUUGGGGGUAUUCAUAUUCAAUAGUCAGAGGUGAAAUUCUCGGAUUUAUGGAAGAUGAAC
rnacentral:rRNA from 1 species